AUGAUCGAUAGGGGUAUUUGGGACCAUGAUUUCUACAAAAAUCUCAGCAAGUUAUUCAAAAAAAAAUUGAAGAUAGGUUUUAGGGAUUACCUGAUUCGUAGGGGUGUUUGGGACUACGAUUCCAUCGGGACAGUGUCUUCUAAUAGGAUAUGAGGUGGAGGGGAGGGAGGCCUUAUUUAUAAGAGAAGUUUAAAGUUUUUGACUUGAUUCUUGUCGGGGU
rnacentral:lncRNA from 1 species